GUGAGGAAUUUUCCGCAAUGGGCGAAAGCCUGACGGAGCAAUGCCGCGUGAAGGAUGAAGGCCUAUGGGUUGUAAACUUCUUUUCUCAGAAAAGAAUUAUGACGGUAUCUGAGGAAUAAGCAUCGGCUAACUCUGUGCCAGCAGCCGCGGUAAGACAGAGGAUGCAAGCGUUAUCCGGAAUGAUUGGGCGUAAAGCGUCUGUAGGUUGUUUAAAAAGUAUUCUGUCAAAGAUUAGGGCUUAACCCUAGAUAGGCAGAAUAAACUUUUAAUCUAGAGUUUGGUAGAGGCAGAGGGAAUUCCCGGUGGAGCGGUGAAAUGCGUAGAUAUCGGGAGGAACACCAAAGGCGAAGGCACUCUGCUGGGCCAAUACUAACACUGAGAGACGAAAGCGAGGGGAGCAAAUGGGAUUAGAAACCCCUGUAGUCC
rnacentral:rRNA from 1 species